GACGAACGCUGGCGGCGUGCCUAAUACAUGCAAGUUGAGCGCUGAAGGUUGGUACUUGUACCGACUGGAUGAGCAGCGAACGGGUGAGUAACGCGUGGGGAAUCUGCCUUUGAGCGGGGGACAACAUUUGGAAACGAGUGCUAAUACCGCAUAAAAACUUUAAACACAAGUUUUAAGUUUGAAAGAUGCAAUUGCAUCACUCAAAGAUGAUCCCGCGUUGUAUUAGCUAGUUGGUGAGGUAAAGGCUCACCAAGGCGAUGAUACAUAGCCGACCUGAGAGGGUGAUCGGCCACAUUGGGACUGAGACACGGCCCAAACUCCUACGGGAGGCAGCAGUAGGGAAUCUUCGGCAAUGGACGAAAGUCUGACCGAGCAACGCCGCGUGAGUGAAGAAGGUUUUCGGAUCGUAAAACUCUGUUGGUAGAGAAGAACGUUGGUGAGAGUGGAAAGCUCAUCAAGUGACGGUAACUACCCAGAAAGGGACGGCUAACUACGUG
rnacentral:rRNA from 1 species